CCUACGGGCGGCAGCAGUGAGGAAUAUUGGUCAAUGGACGAGAGUCUGAACCAGCCAAGUAGCGUGAAGGAUGACUGCCCUAUGGGUUGUAAACUUCUUUUAUAUGGGUAUAAAAUAUUCCACGUGUGGGAUUUUGUAUGUACCAUUUGAAUAAGGAUCGGCUAACUCCGUGUCAGCAGCCGCCGUAACACCGGGGAUCCGAGCGUUAUCCGGGUUUAGUGGGGUUAAAGGGAGAGUAGGUGGAUUGUUAAGUCAGUUGUGAAAGUGUGGGGCUCAACCGUAAAAUUGCAGUUGAAACUGGCGGUCUUGAGUACAGUAGAGGUGGGCGGAAGUCGUGGUGUAGCGGUGAAAUGCUUAGAUAUCACGAAGAACUCCGAUUGCGAAGGCAGUUCACUGGACUGCAACUGACACUGAGGCUCGAAAGUGUGGGUAUCAAACAGGAUGAGAUACACCUGUAGUC
rnacentral:rRNA from 1 species